rnacentral:rRNA from 1 species
CCUACGGGAGGCAGCAGUGGGGAAUUUUGGACAAUGGGCGCAAGCCUGAUCCAGCAAUGCCGCGUGCAGGAUGAAGGCCUUCGGGUUGUAAACUGCUUUUGUACGGAACGAAACGGUGAGCUCUAAUACAGUUUGCUAAUGACGGUACCGUAAGAAUAAGCACCGGCUAACUACGUGCCAGCAGCCGCGGUAAUACGUAGGGUGCGAGCGUUAAUCGGAAUUACUGGGCGUAAAGCGUGCGCAGGCGGUGAUGUAAGACAGAUGUGAAAUGCCCGGGCUCAACCUGGGACCUGCAUUUGUGACUGCAUCGCUAGAGUACGGUAGAGGGGGAUGGAAUUCCGCGUGUAGCAGUGAAAUGCGUAGAUAUGCGGAGGAACACCGAUGGCGAAGGCAAUCCCCUGGACCUGUACUGACGCUCAUGCACGAAGACGGUGGGGAGGACAACAGGAGUAGAUACCUACGGUAGUCCACCGACCCUAACGAUGUCACUGGUUGUUGGUUCGUUCU